UUCACAAAAACUGUCAGGAUCAUGACACUUUAAAUAAGUUGUUCAAAUAAGUGUAACCAAAAUCUUUGGUGUGACAAAUUACUAUUAACAACAAACAACCUAUUUGUGCUCUAAAAAUAACAUGUAUGUAACCCACGUUAAAAUAUGACACAAAUAGGAAUAAGUAAUUUAAAAAUGCAUAAAUAAGUUUGAAGGUUAAAAAUGAUUCAUUUAAUGUAAGUCAAUUCAUCAGAGUUGAUAAAAAAUGUUAAUGCAACAAUAAUUUAAUAUUGAGGAUCCAAAAUAUGGUGAUAGAGAAUUCGUGUCACUGUCCCUUUAAGGACCAGUGACGCUAGACGCAGCACCUCAGUGACGCUGCAGCAGAGACCUGAGGGAGAGAGCAGAGAAGAGAUCGGAGAGAACGAGCGGUGGUUAAUAAGCAGAAAAGAGAGUGAAAAGUUGAUUUUGCAGUUGGAAAACAAUAACGUACCUGGUCGGGAACUGACGGGGGUUAUGUGAAAAUUAAGCAACACCGGUUUUGGUCAGGUUUUUUUGCUUGGUUGGAAGCUCGGUCGGAGCGGAGAUUGAUCUGCAGUGUGCGGGCGUGCACAUUCACAGACGGGAUUCAAGAUGGCGAGCCAGUCCCAGACCUUCAUCUCAUCUUCUCCAUCACAUCAGUGAGGAAAUCAUCUGCGCAUGGUGACUCGCUGCCGGAGUGGUAGGAGUGUCAGGAUUUGAUUUGAACUGAACGGAGAACUGAUGGAAUUAUUAUUUUUGGACUGAAUCGGACUGAAACGUUUCAUUGAACUGAACAACUGAACUCACAUUUGGACUUGAACUGAUUUAAAGUGUCAUACUUUUGUUUGUAUCUCGGGUUCAUGAUUUUGAAUGUGAUUUUGAAUGAUUGUGGUCCACUUUGAUUUGAUUCUGAAACUGAAAUUAUUCUUUUAUCUGUGAAAGAAAGGGAAAAGUAGAGUUAACUCAGGAAGUAAAAUAGGAAUUCUAAAAUAGGUAUAACCUAGGGGUUUAAGUUUAAAGUUUAACUUAACUUAAAUUAGCUUUACCAAAAUAACCUAGGCAAACAAAAGAACAAAAAGAAGAGUGAAAUAUCUUUUCCAUUUAUUAUACUUACCCAAUGUAAGAACCUGCAGGGUAAUUUUUUUGUUUUGUUUUGUGUACUGUGUUUUUCAUGUUUAUAUUACAUUCAGUAAAUUGCCGGCCUUUUGUAUUUAAA